rnacentral:lncRNA from 1 species
AGCAGCAGCAACCUGCUCAGGUCCCCUUCCAUGGUGUGGAAGCUUUGUUCUUUCGCUGUUCACAAUGAAUCUUGCUGCUGCUCACUCUUUGGGUCCGCACUAGCUUUAUGAGCUGUAACGCUCACUGCGAAGGUCUGUGGCUUCACUCCUGAAGUCAGCAAGACCACGAACCCACCGGAAGGAGGAAACAACUCCGGAAGCACCACGUUUAAGAGCUGUAACACUCACUGCGAAAGUCUGCAGCUUCACUCCUGAAGUCAGCAAGACCACAAACCCACCGGAAGGAAGAAAUUCCAGACACAUCUAAACAUUGGAAGGAACAAACUCCAGACACACUAUCUUUAAGAACUGUAACACUCACCGCGAGGGUCUGUGGCUUCAUGCUUGAAGUCAGCCGGACCAAGAACCCACCGGAAAGAACCAAUUCCUGACACAAUCAGACAGAGAAUGCUGAUUCACUAUGCAGUGAAACAUGCCUAACGUGUCAACAGCUAAAUGCCCGGUGACAGUGUGGUUGUCUGGGCAACAGAAGAAGUCACCCACGCAAACACUUAAAGGACCAUACUUAUUUUACAAGAGGAACAGUUUUCAAUGGAAUGGAUAUUAAAACACACACCUGGAUCCCUUUACCACAGGUGCUUUGAGAGGCACCAUCAAGGACAGUGAGCUAACGCAGGAGAAUGGAGUCCCAGAAACCUAGGAGGAGAAGACAAAGUGUCAGCCUCUCGGCAUCUGCAGUGUUGCUAGGAAAAGAGCUCUGAUCCCAGGGGCUUACCCACUUCCACAGGUAGGAAGCGUCCCUGAGAGGACUGGAACAUUAGCAUAUCUCAGAUCCAUCUGCAAAACUUUUGCAAACACGGAACUCCCUCGUUCUAAUCUUAUCAGCAACUUCCAGAGCUGAACCUUGAUUAAUCUGGAUACAAAAAGGAUUGAAACGCCACAUAAUAAGCAUUAACAGGAGGGUGUUUCCUUUAUCAAUGAAGCUUGAUUUAUCCAUGAUGAUCUAGUGCAUUCUCCUCCCAAAAAUCAGGAUCAUCCUCUGCAUAUGAAGGAACAGACAAGCCCUCAGCUCUACCACUUUGGAGAGGGGGGGAUUGGACAGCAUGAGCCUUCAAUUGUAUCUCUUGGAUGACCAAGGAAGGCUGGAUUUCUGCACCUAAAAAAUGGAAGCACAAACUGUACAACAAAUACUCUCCAUUCAAGUUGAAGUUCUCAAAUAAGUUUUGAAAGGUUCACUCCAGCUACUCUGUUGACAAUGGAUUAUAGAAGACUGAACAUGGAAUCCAGGAGACCAGUCAGAAAACUUCUUCAGGAAUCCAGCACAGUCUUGGCCUGUUCUGGAGAAUGCUCCCCAUCAAAAAUAAUUGACUGGAGACAAGCCAAGUCAGGAUUCUCCCUGGGAUCAAUUUCUGAUGGCGCUUUCUUCAUAAACAGGGGGACCUUUUCAAAUUCCUCUUCCCACUGGUCCUCAUGAAAGCCGCCACGGUAAGGCUGGCUCUGGAACUUUUCCAGGAACAAGUCCGUGGCAUCGUCUGAGGUGGGGUCCUGCUCAGGUUACUCCAUAACUGAUGCCCUGCCCUCCAGCCCAGGUCCCGGCACCGUGAAGUGUAGAAAAUACUCUACAAUGAAUAAAAAUAAAAUACAAUAUUCAAGAUUUAUGAAUGCAAUAAAAGCAGUGGUCAGAAGGAACAUUUAAGCUCUAAACACAUUAAAAAAGAAGAAUGAUAUUAAUAGAAAAUCUAAUUGUGUAUCUUACAUAACUAGAAAAUGAAAAGCAGUCUAAAGCCAAAGCAUGAAGGAGGUAGGAAAUAAUGAUUAGAGGAAACAUAAAUGACAUAGAGAAUAGAAAAACAAGAGAGAGUAUCAAUGAACCUAAAAUUUGGUUCUUUAAAAAGAUUACCAGAUUUGACAAACCUUUAGCUAUACUAAUAAUAGAAGACUAAAAUAAAUAAAAUUAAAAAUGAAAUCAUAGACAUUAUAACUGAUACCAUAGAAAUACAAAGGAUCAAAAGAAACUACUAAUGAACAAUUAUAUGCCAACAAAUUGGAUUACCUACAGGAAAUUGAUGAAUUCCUACAACAUACAACCUACCAACGCUGAAUCAUGAAGAAAUAGAAAAUCUAAACAGACCAAUAGUGAGUAAAGAGAUUGAGUCUGUAAUCAAAAAUCUUACAAAAAAGAAAAGCUCAGUAUCAGACAGCUUCACUGAUGAGUUCUAUCAGUCCUUUAAUGAAAAUUUAUACCAAUCAUUGCCAAACUCUUUCAUAAAAUUGAAGAGAUGAGAAUAGUUCAUAAUUCAUUGUAUGAGGCUGGCAUUACGUAGAUACAAAGCCAGACAAAGACAUUACAAGAUUGUCUCUUUUAAGUAUAGAUGCAAAGCCUCUUGAUAAAAUCCUAUCAAACUGAAUACAGCAGCAUAUUAAAGGGAUCAUACUCCAUGACAAAUGGGAUUUAUCUCAGUAAUGCAAGAAUGGUUCAACGUAUGAAAAUCACUCAAUGUAAGAAACCACAUGAAUAGAAUGAAGGGAGAAAAAAGACCCCAAAAUAUACGAACAUUUCAGUUGAUGCAGAGGAAUCAUUUGAUAAAGUUCAACAUUCUUUUAAAACACUCAGUAAAUGAAGAAUAAAAGAUAUCUUCCAUAACACGAUAAAGGUGAUAUAUGAAAAACCCACAGCUAACAUCACACCCAAUAUUGAAAGACUCAAAGCUUUCCCUUAACAAUGGGAACGAGAGCAGGAUUCCUACUGUCGCUAUUUUUACUCAAUAUAGUAGUAGAAAUUCUAGCCAGAGCAAUUAGAGAAGUCAAAUAAAUGAAAAUCUUACAAAUUGAAAAGAGAGAAGUUCUCCAUUCACAGAUGACCUGGUCUUAUGUGUAGAAAGCUCUAAGGAUUUAAUAACAAAACUAUUAGAGCUAAUAAAUGAAUUAAGCAAAGUUGUAGGACAAAAAAACAAUAAACAAAAUCAGUUGUGUUUCUAUACACUAGAAAUAAGCAAUAGGACAAGUUUUUUAAAACUUUCUUUUUAUAGUAGCAUCUGAAAGAACAGAUAUGUAGGAAUUUAAUCGGAAAUUAAAGACGUACUGAAAACUACAAAACAUUGCUGAAAUAAAGAAGUCAUAAAUCAAUGGAAUGUGUUCAUGGUGUAAGAUUUAAUAUUGUUAAGGUGAUAAUGCUACUCGAUUUGCUUUGCUAAUCAAAGCAAUCUACAGAUUGAAUCCAACAAUUUUUUUUUUCUUGUGGAAAUAGAAAACCCAUUCUAAAGUUCAUAUGAAAUCUUAAGGGACCUUGCAUAGCCAAAACAAUCUUGAAAAGAAUAAAUGUGGACAACUCACAUUUCCUGAUUUCAAAACUUAUCACAAAGAUACAGUAAUCAAAACAGUGAGGUACUUGUAUAAAGACAGACAUACAGACCAAUAGAUUUGAAUAGAUAUUCCAGAAGUAAACUCUCACAUACACAGACAAUUGAUUUUUGACAAGGGCACAAAAGCCAUUCAAUGGGGAAAAGGACAAUCUUUUCAACAAAUGGUGCUGGGAAAACUGUGUAUCCACAUGUAAAAAAAUGAAGUCAAACCUUUUCCUCAAAUUAUAUACAGAAAUUCACCAAAAAUGAAUAAAAUACUUAAAUAUAAGAACUAAAACUAUAAAACUCUUAGAGGAAAACAUACAACUAAAUCUUCAUGAUAUUAAUUUCUUAGAUAUGACACCAAAAGGAUGAGGAAUAACAAAAAUAGAUAAACUGAAGGGUAGAAAGCAAAGUGAUAAUGGAAGAUGAGAGUCGAGUGAUGUGACCAGGAGCCAAGGAAUGCCAUGGCCUCUAGAUGUGGGGAGUUAAGGGACCAAUUUUCCCUGGAAACUCCUGAAGGAACUUGCCAUGCCAACACCUUGAUUAUAGCCCUUUAAGAUACAUUUUGGACUGUUGAUCUCCAGGAUUGUAAGAUAAUACAUUCGUGUUGAUUUAAGCCACUGAAUAUGUGGUGAUUUGUUACAGCAGCAAUAGUAAACUGAUACACAAUCUCAAUGAAAGUAGGGAUUUCUGUCUUCCCACACCCUGCUCACUUCACUAGAGAAUUUAUAGCACUUAGUGUAUUCUUCGAUAAAUAUUUGUUGAGUAAGAUGAAUGAAGCCAGACUUUAGAGUCAGAUUACACUUGGCUGGUUAACUGUUGUGAGGAAAGCAGUUGAAAGUUCUCUUGGCCUUGCUUCUACUUGCACUGGGAAGCACUGUCAUCAAUGAAGGGGUUGCUGUGGGUUUCAAGAGAAAAGAAAAGGUGUGAGAAUCUCCCAGGUACAGUGGGAGCUCAUCUGGACUAGGGAAAUAAAAUAGGAUUGCUUGGUUAUUGCUCACUUGGUCACUAAUAUAACAUGAAUUGAGACAGUAUGGUUGUAUAUUUUUCUCCAAUUAAGGUUAUGGGGUGGCAUGGCCUAGGGGAAGUUACUUAUUUUGCAAGGGUGAUUUGAUAGAGGCAGCAAGCCAGGUAGCUGGGAUGUUUGCAAGGGCAUGAUCAUAAUGGUGUACCAUGCAAUUUAAGCAGGGGCAGGUGGAAAUAAGGACUUGAUGUGAUAUGUUCAGAUCCAUGAAUAAGACAUCAUAACAGGAGUCACAGUAUUGUCAGACUAGAAGUACUGGAGGAAGGGAGCUGGACAUUUGAAAGAGAUGGGAGGGUGGAAUGUUUGAGAUUGAGUGAAUGGAGGUGCUGUGUUCAUUUGGUCAUGCUAAGGUCUUGGGGUGGCCAUGGGAGGGGUGGGUGGCUGAGGUGGGGCAGAGGACAGACUCAUCUGGAGAUGAUGCAAUAAAUGAAGGGGAAAGCUAGGCCCUGCAAGGAGCUCUCUUGUGUGUAUUAAAAUCAUCAAAAACUGUGGCAGGAGUGAUUGCAGAGAUCCUAGUGACCCAUGAUCAAGGAAUGAAGAGGAAGACCAGCGGUCUAGAGAUUACUGCACAUGUGGGGUGGGAAGAGGGCGGUAACAGAUGACAAUCAUUAAUUUGAUAAAAAAGUAUUGAAUGUCUGCUCUGUGCCAGGCACAUGGUGGUAGGGUCUGAUGGGAGGUUAAAGGGAAGAGAGGUGGAUAAUGUUCUGGAGAUUUCAAUGAGCAAGAAGGGUAUUUAGCCCACAUUGAGGCCCAACAGAUUGAAGCCUUAAAAGAAAACAGCAACACCUGAGAAGGAUGCCAGGAAAUGAGUCCUAGGGGUACAUGUGGAGUCAGCUGGAGCACAUCCAGGAAGAAGGACAGAAGAAAGACUGUGAAGGACUUGAGUCAGGGAGGGGUGUGAGCUGACUCAGAAAGGGUGAUGCAUGGGUAGGCCAUGGGGUGAGGGAUGAACGGGAGUCUUGGAUUUCCUGUGGUCACUCAGGGAAACCCAGCAGCUAAAAGUAAGUGAUUUAAGCAAAUGAAUGGACAGAUGAAUUAAUGAAUAGACUAAAGAUGGACAAAUGCUUCCACCAGCCUUGCUUCAGGCCCUAUUUAGAACUGAAGUUGACUUCCUCUUUCUUUUAAUAGCUGCAAAAAUGAUGAAUUUGAUUUUCGUCUCUAGAAGCAAUUUCCUUUUUAAAUCAGGUGAGGAUCUUGGCAGAUGCGAAGAAUCUUUCAGAACCUGCAUGUAUAUGAGAAAGGGAUAUGACAGCAUGAAGUUCUCCUGUUUGAAGAAGCUAAAUGGAGCCACUUUUUGACUCAGUUGACUGGGACCUGGAGCUGGUGCACUAUUUGAAUUGCAUGGUGUGCCUGCCGCUGCCUUUUGACUUCUCCAGCCUGUACACCUGCCUUUUUGGGGAGAACUGUGGUAACAUAUGGGGAGGCGUCCUGUAUUUUCUGCAAUAUCUGACAAAGAAAAACUAGUUGGUUCAUAUGUAUAUAUGAUCUUUCAACAAGAACGUCAAAUAAAUAUCUUCACUCCUUGGGGAGAAGCAGGUCAGAGCCCCACUGUCUCAGCUAGCUCUCACUUGGCUGUCUUGUUUUGGGGCUGGAAGGCCACACUGUGUUUCCUGGGGUAGAGGCGGAGUCUGGGCAUUCUCCCUUUGUAGCUGAGAGCUAAGAGCAGUUGUGUCUGCUUUGAUAAAAUAAAGUUAUUUUUUAGUUUAGUCUGAUCUCCAAAUCCUUCCCUUUCAGAUACCUCUGCCAUCCAAGAUCAGGGGAUACUAAAUUUUCAAAGCAUUUUCUCAGGAGUUGCAUGAGAAAACAUACACCUGCUCUUGUUUUCAAGGGGUGUGGGCAAGAAGUAAAAAGGACAAACUGUUAAUGAGAACACUUUCUGUAUUCCUCCCUCCCCACUGAUACAUACCAGUACCAUAAAAUUUAAAAUGAGUCAAAUGACUGCAGUAAGACUUUACUUUGGUAUACGAGGCAAAAUGUUGGACAUGGGUGCUAAUUAAUCAUCAGAGAGUUACAGGGGAACCUGGACGAAUUAAGACUGGGGCAAGAGACAGCUCAUCAAGGAUCUUGCCCUGUAGCUCAAGAAGAAAAUGUUUAACUUAGUUGCCUGGACACUCUGAGGAUAGAAUGAAAUGCUGUAUGCGACCUGUUGGCCUUGGAAGCCGGCAUGGAUUCAGCACCCAGGGUUGGGGUGAACCUUCUCUCCCUCACUGUGUCAGGCAUCUUAGUCUGCCCCAGGAUGUGCAGGCUGCCUGUCCCUGGCCUCACAUCCUGCUGUAAGUGGGAUUGUGACCCCCUGAAAUGCAUAUGUUGAAGCCCUAACUGCCUCUGUGAUGGUAUUUGGAGGUGAAGCCUUUGGGAGAUAAUUAGGGUUAGAUGAAGUCCUAAGGACCUCCAUGAUGGGAUUAGUGUCCUUACAAGAAGAGGAAGAGACACCAGAGCUUCCCCUCUCUCACCUGUGAGGACAGAGGUAGCAGGUGGCUGUG